UACAGAGGUCUCGAGCGUUGUUCGGAUUCAUUGGGCGUAAAGGGUGCGUAGGCGGCGCGGUAAGUCGGGGUGUGAAAUCUCGGAGCUUAACUCCGAAACUGCAUUCGAUACUGCCGUGCUUGAGGACUGGAGAGGAGACUGGAAUUUACGGUGUAGCGGUGAAAUGCGUAGAUAUCGUAAGGAAGACCAGUGGCGAAGGCGGGUCUCUGGACAGUUCCUGACGCUGAGGCACGAAGGUCAGGGGAGCAAACGGG
rnacentral:rRNA from 1 species